rnacentral:rRNA from 1 species
UAAGAAGCACCGGCUAACUACGUGCCAGCAGCCGCGGUAAUACGUAGGGUACGAGCGUUAAUCGGAAUUACUGGGCGUAAAGCGUGCGCAGGCGGUUAUACAAGACAGGCGUGAAAUCCCCGGGCUUAACCUGGGAAUGGCGUCUGUGACUGUAUAGCUAGAGUGUGUCAGAGGGGGGUGGAAUUCCACGUGUAGCAGUGAAAUGCGUAGAUAUGUGGAGGAACACCAAUGGCGAAGGCAGCCCCCUGGGAUAACACUGACGCUCAUGCACGAAAGCGUGGGGAGCAAACAGGAUUAGAUACCCUGGUAGUCCACGCCCUAAACGAUGCUGACUAGUUGUUGGGAAUUUACAUUCUCAGUAACGUAGCUAACGCGUGAAGUCAGCCGCCUGGGGAGUACGGUCGCAAGAUUAAAACUCCAAGGAAUUGACGGGGACCCGCACAAGCGGUGGAUGAUGUGGAUUAAUUCGAUGCAACGCGAAAAACCUUACCUACCCUUGACAUGUCACUAACGAAGUAGAGAUACAUUUAGGUGCCCGUAGGGAAAGUGAACACAGGUGGCUGCAUGGCUUGUCGUCAACUCGUGUCCGUGAGAUGUUGGGUUAAGUCCCGCAACGAGCGCAACCCUUGUCUUUAGUUGCUACGCAAGAGCACUCUUAAGAGACUGCCGGUGACAAACCGAGGAAGGUGGGAUGA